rnacentral:rRNA from 1 species
AGACCCGAAACCCGGUGAUCUAGCCAUGGGCAGGUUGAAGGUUGGGUAACACUAACUGGAGGACCGAACCGACUAAUGUUGAAAAAUUAGCGGAUGACCUGUGGCUGGGGGUGAAAGGCCAAUCAAACCGGGAGAUAGCUGGUUCUCCCCGAAAGCUAUUUAGGUAGCGCCUCGUGAAUUCAUCUCCGGGGGUAGAGCACUGUUUCGGCUAGGGGGCCAUCCCGGCUUACCAACCCGAUGCAAACUGCGAAUACCGGAGAAUGUUAUCACGGGAGACACACGGCGGGUGCUAACGUCCGUCGUGAAGAGGGAAACAACCCAGACCGCCAGCUAAGGUCCCAAAGUCAUGGUUAAGUGGGAAACGAUGUGGGAAGGCCCAGACAGCCAGGAUGUUGGCUUAGAAGCAGCCAUCAUUUAAAGAAAGCGUAAUAGCUCACUGGUCGAGUCGGCCUGCGCGGAAGAUGUAACGGGGCUAAACCAUGCACCGAAGCUGCGGCAGCGACGCUUAUGCGUUGUUGGGUAGGGGAGCGUUCUGUAAGCCUGUGAAGGUGGCCUGUGAGGGUUGCUGGAGGUAUCAGAAGUGCGAAUGCUGACAUAAGUAACGAUAAAGCGGGUGAAAAGCCCGCUCGCCGGAAGACCAAGGGUUCCUGUCCAACGUUAAUCGGGGCAGGGUGAGUCGACCCCUAAGGCGAGGCCGAAAGGCGUAGUCGAUGGGAAACGGGUUAAUAUUCCCGUACUUGGUGUUACUGCGAAGGGGGGACGGAGAAGGCUAUGUUGGCCGGGCGACGGUUGUCCCGGUUUAAGCGUGUAGGUGUGUGUUCCAGGUAAAUCCGGUUCACUUUAACACUGAGGCGUGACGACGAGGCACUACGGUGCUGAAGCAACAAAUGCCCUGCUUCCAGGAAAAGCCUCUAAGCAUCAGGUAACAUCAAAUCGUACCCCAAACCGACACAGGUGGUCAGGUAGAGAAUACCAAGGCGCUUGAGAGAACUCGGGUGAAGGAACUAGGCAAAAUGGUGCCGUAACUUCGGGAGAAGGCACGCUGACACGUAGGUGAAGUGAUUUACUCAUGGAGCUGAAGUCAGUCGAAGAUACCAGCUGGCUGCAACUGUUUAUUAAAAACACAGCACUGUGCAAACACGAAAGUGGACGUAUACGGUGUGACGCCUGCCCGGUGCCGGAAGGUUAAUUGAUGGGGUCAGCGCAAGCGAAGCUCCUGAUCGAAGCCCCGGUAAACGGCGGCCGUAACUAUAACGGUCCUAAGGUAGCGAAAUUCCUUGUCGGGUAAGUUCCGACCUGCACGAAUGGCGUAAUGAUGGCCAGGCUGUCUCCACCCGAGACUCAGUGAAAUUGAACUCGCUGUGAAGAUGCAGUGUACCCGCGGCAAGACGGAAAGACCCCGUGAACCUUUACUAUAGCUUGACACUGAACAUUGAGCCUUGAUGUGUAGGAUAGGUGGGAGGCUUUGAAGUGUGGACGCCAGUCUGCAUGGAGCCGACCUUGAAAUACCACCCUUUAAUGUUUGAUGUUCUAACGUGGACCCGUAAUCCGGGUUGCGGACAGUGUCUGGUGGGUAGUUUGACUGGGGCGGUCUCCUCCUAAAGAGUAACGGAGGAGCACGAAGGUUGGCUAAUCCUGGUCGGACAUCAGGAGGUUAGUGCAAUGGCAUAAGCCAGCUUGACUGCGAGCGUGACGGCGCGAGCAGGUGCGAAAGCAGGUCAUAGUGAUCCGGUGGUUCUGAAUGGAAGGGCCAUCGCUCAACGGAUAAAAGGUACUCCGGGGAUAACAGGCUGAUACCGCCCAAGAGUUCAUAUCGACGGCGGUGUUUGGCACCUCGAUGUCGGCUCAUCACAUCCUGGGGCUGAAGUAGGUCCCAAGGGUAUGGCUGUUCGCCAUUUAAAGUGGUACGCGAGCUGGGUUUAGAACGUCGUGAGACAGUUCGGUCCCUAUCUGCCGUGGGCGCUGGAGAACUGAGGGGGGCUGCUCCUAGUACGAGAGGACCGGAGUGGACGCAUCACUGGUGUUCGGGUUGUCAUGCCAAUGGCACUGCCCGGUAGCUAAAUGCGGAAGAGAUAAGUGCUGAAAGCAUCUAAGCACGAAACUUGCCCCGAGAUGAGUUCUCCCUGAGACUUAGAGUCUCCUGAAGGAACGUUGAAGACGACGACGUUGAUAGGCCGGGUGUGUAAGCGCAGCGAUGCGUUGAGCUAACCGGUACUAAUGAACCGUGAGGCUUAACCUUACAACGCCGAAG